ACCUUGCUGACGAGUGCCAAAUAGCACGAAACCCGGUUACAGGGU
rnacentral:hammerhead_ribozyme from 1 species